rnacentral:rRNA from 1 species
GACGAACGCUGGCGGCGUGCCUAAUACAUGCAAGUAGAACGCUGAAGGAGGAGCUUGCUUCUCUGGAUGAGUUGCGAACGGGUGAGUAACGCGUAGGUAACCUGCCUGGUAGCGGGGGAUAACUAUUGGAAACGAUAGCUAAUACCGCAUAAUAGUAGAUGUUGCAUGACAUUUGCUUAAAAGGUGCAAUUGCAUCACUACCAGAUGGACCUGCGUUGUAUUAGCUAGUUGGUGGGGUAACGGCUCACCAAGGCGACGAUACAUAGCCGACCUGAGAGGGUAAUCGGCCACACUGGGACUGGAGCACGGCCCAGAAUCCUACGGGAGGCAGCAGUAGGGAAUCUUCGGCAAUGGACGGAAGUCUGACCGAGCAACGCCGCGUGAGUGAAGAAGGUUUUCGGGUCGUAAAGCUCUGUUGUAAGAGAAGAACGAGUGUGAGAGUGGAAAGUUCACACUGUGACGGUAUCUUACCAGAAAGGGACGGCUAACUACGUG